CCAAAAUUCAUUUUUUAUAUUCAAAGACAUAUACAUGAACUUGUAAACGCACAUUUGCACAAGGUCGAUUUCUAUCCGACGCAGCUCAUGUUAUACCAUAAGUAGAAAUAUACAGUUAUCAGUUUUGUAUAAUAAAAUGGCAGCAAGUGAAAUAUCACAAUAAUAUUUCAUGAGAAAAUGUUUUAGAGUGAAAGGUUUUGUCAUUGUGUAUAUAUUUCACUAGAUGGAGAUUAAUUGUAAAUACAGUACUUAAUAAAACAUAUUGGAUAUUCAACAAUGAGGGGGGUAGGAGGGGUCCUGAUCCCAAAAUCUUGGGCUUAAAAACACGAAAUCCUGAGGUCCUGAAUUUAAACAAAAUUAAAUCCUGACAUCCGGAACUUCAAAAAAAGAAUUACUGGGUUCCAAAAGGGUCCAUCCCAAAAUCCUGAGCUUAAAAAUACACUAUUUGGGAGUCCUGAUAAAGGUCCUAUCCCCCUCAACAAUGAUUACGGGUAAUUUGCAAUAAAGUUAAUGUUGUAAGGGUAAAUUAUUGUUGUAAACUGAAAUGGCAGAAGUGUUGACACAAAAUUUAUAUCAAACUAUAAUUAA
rnacentral:lncRNA from 1 species